rnacentral:rRNA from 1 species
ACGGAAGGCAGCAGUGGGGAAUAUUGCACAAUGGGGGAAACCCUGAUGCAGCAACGCCGCGUGAGUGAUGAAGGUUUUCGGAUCGUAAAGCUCUGUCUUUGGGGAAGAUAAUGACGGUACCCAAGGAGGAAGCCACGGCUAACUACGUGCCAGCAGCCGCGGUAAUACGUAGGUGGCGAGCGUUAUCCGGAUUUACUGGGCGUAAAGGGAGCGUAGGCGGAUGAUUAAGUGGGAUGUGAAAUACCCGGGCUCAACUUGGGUGCUGCAUUCCAAACUGGUUAUCUAGAGUGCAGGAGAGGAGAGUGGAAUUCCUAGUGUAGCGGUGAAAUGCGUAGAGAUUAGGAAGAACACCAGUGGCGAAGGCGACUCUCUGGACUGUAACUGACGCUGAGGCUCGAAAGCGUGGGGAGCAAACAGGAUUAGAUACCCUGGUA